GACGUAGGGCGCGAGCGUUGUCCGGAUUUAUUGGGCGUAAAGAGCUCGUAGGCGGCUUGUCGCGUCGAAUGUGAAAACCCGAGGCUCAACUUCGGGCUUGCAUUCGAUACGGGCAGGCUAGAGUUCGGUAGGGGAGACUGGAAUUCCUGGUGUAGCGGUGAAAUGCGCAGAUAUCAGGAGGAACACCGGUGGCGAAGGCGGGUCUCUGGGCCGAUACUGACGCUGAGGAGCGAAAGCGUGGGGAGCGAACAGGAUUAGAAACC
rnacentral:rRNA from 1 species